CUCAGUAAGAUGACCAAGUCACCUUUUGCUGGAAAAAGUGAAUGACCUAAUAAUAUUCUUAGUCUGAUACAUAUUGAUGUAUUAGAUCUAUGAAUAUGUUUGCCAUAAAUUUGAUUUAUUUGAAAUGUUCAAAUAAUUCCAUAAUAAGGUAGAGAAACAAACUGAAAAGAGCAUUGAAACUCUUUAGUCAGACCAAGAAGGAGAAUAUUUUUCUGGUGAGUUUUUGACAUAUCUAGAAGAGAAUAAGAUUCUCUCUUAAUGGAAUC
rnacentral:lncRNA from 1 species